rnacentral:rRNA from 1 species
GCUUAACACAUGCAAGUCGAGCGAGAAUUGUUUAUUGAAGGCUUCGGCUGGAAAUAGAUGAGGAAAGCGGCGAACGGGUGAGUAACGCGUGGGCAACCUGGCCUUAAGAAAAGGAUGGCCCCCGGAAACGGGGAGUAAUAAUUUAUGAGAAUGAAAGAGGGCAUCCUACUUUCAUUCAAAGCGCAAGCGCUGAAGGAUGGGACCGCGUAUAAUUAGCUAGUUGGUGAGAUAACAGCCCACCAGGGCAACGAUGAUUAGCCGGUCGGAGAGGGCGAACGGCCACAUUGGAACUGAGAGACGGUCCAAACUCCUACGGGAGGCAGCAGUGGGGAAUAUUGCGCAAUGGAGAAGAACUCUGACGCAGCAAUACCGCGUGAGCGAAGAAGGUCUUCGGAUCGUAAAGCUCUGUUAUCAGGGAAGAAGAAAAUGACGGUACCUCCUUAGCAAGCACCGGCUAACUUCGUGCCAGCCGCCGCGGUAAGAC